GACAGAGGGUGCGAACGUUGCUCGGAAUCAUUGGGCGUAAAGCGCGCGUAGGCGGACCGGAAAGUCGGUUGUGAAAUCCCUGGGCUCAACCCAGGAACUGCAUCCGAAACUCCCGGUCUCGAGUGACGGAGAGGAUAGUGGAAUUCCCGGUGUAGAGGUGAAAUUCGUAGAUAUCGGGAGGAACACCAGUGGCGAAGGCGGCUAUCUGGACGUCCACUGACGCUGAGGCGCGAAAGCGUGGGGAGCAAACAGG
rnacentral:rRNA from 1 species